rnacentral:rRNA from 1 species
CCGAGGUGCUAAGGGCACACGGUGGAUGCCUUGGCGCCAGCAGGCGAAGAAGGGCGUGGUAAGCUGCGAAAAGCCCCGGCGAGGCGCAAACAGCUGAAGACCCGGGGAUGCCCGAAUGGGGAAACCCGGCAGGCGGAAAGCCUGUCAUCCCGCGCAAGGCGUGGGAGGCGAGACCCCCCGAACUGAAACAUCUCAGUAGGGGGAGGAAAGGAAAUCAACCGAGACUCCCUGAGUAGCGGCGAGCGAAAGGGGAUCAGCCCAAACCGGAUGGGUGUUAAAGCCCGCAGGCGUUGCCCAUCCGGGGUAGCGGGACGUACCUGGAGGAGGCUGCGGACUCCUCGGGGAGUUACAAAAGGCUUGGGUAGCCGAAUGGUUCUGGAAAGGCCAGCCAUAGAGGGUGAAAGCCCCGUAGGCGAAACUCAAGCCUCUCCCUGGGGUACGAUCCCAAGUACCGUGGGACACGAGGAAUCCUGCGGGAAUCAGGGGGGACCACCCUCCAAGGCUAAGUACUCGCUGGCGACCGAUAGCGCAUAGUACCGUGAGGGAAAGGUGAAAAGAACCCCGGGCAGGGGAGUGAAACAGAACCUGAAACCGUGUGCCUACAAGCGGUCGGAGCCCCGACACCCUUAUAGACUUACUUGGGGGAAGAAUGUACUAUGUAUAUUUGAUAGUGAGCGAAGAUGGACGAAAGUACAUAGGAUACACAGCGAAUCUACAAGCGAGGAUAGAGAAUCAUAAUUCGGGAAGUGUAAAAAGCACUAAAGGAAGGAAAUGGAAGUUAGUGUACUACGAAGCGUACGCGAGAUAUGAGGAUGCGAGAAGGAGAGAACGGAAUCUGAAGAAAAGCUGGAAACUUAGGGUAGCACUAUAUAAGCGGCUGAACCUCAGGUAAGUGUGUAAGGGUGUCAGGGUGACGGCGUACCUUUUGCGUAAUGGGCCAGGGAGUUACUCUCAGCGGCGAGGCUAAGCCGAGAGGCGGAGCCGUAGGGAAACCGAGUCCGAAUAGGGCGCAUAGUCGCUGGGAGUAGACCCGAAACCGUACGAUCUACCCAUGGCCAGGGUGAAGUCCGGGUAACACCGGAUGGAGGCCCGAACCCACCAGUGCUGAAAAACUGGGGGAUGAGCUGUGGGUAGGAGUGAAAAGCUAAUCGAGUACGGAGAUAGCUGGUUCUCCCCGAAAUAGCUUUAAGGCUAGCCUCACGGGAGAGUCUGCUGGAGGUAGAGCUACUGGUGGGGCUAGGGCCCCGAAAGGGGUACCGACCCCCGCCAAACUCCGAAUGCCGGCAGAUGCUCCGUGGGAGUCAGACCGUGGGGGAUAAGCUCCAUGGUCGAGAGGGAAAGAGCCCAGACCGCCAGCUAAGGUCCCCAAGUGGUGGCUAAGUGGUAAAGGAAGUGUGCCCGCUAAGACAGCCAGGAGGUUGGCUUAGAGGCAGCCAUCCUUUAAAGAGUGCGUAACAGCUCACUGGUCGAGCGGGCAUGCGCCGAAAAUGUAGCGGGGCUCAAGCCACCCACCGAAGCUGCGGGUCCCCACUACACUUUUCCUGUGUAGAGGGGGCGGUAGGGGAGCGUUCCCUGCGGGUUGAAGUCGCACCGUAAGGUGCGGUGGACUGCAGGGAAGUGAAAAUCCUGGCAUGAGUAGGCGAUAAGGGAGGUGAGAAGCCUCCCCGCCGAAAGCCCAAGGUUUCCAGGGGAAGGCAAGUCCGCCCUGGGUUAGCCGGCCCCUAAGGCGAGGCCGAAAGGCGUAGCCGAUGGGAAGCGGGUUAAUAUUCCCGCGCCACUCCGGUGGAGCGAUGGGGGUGACGCAGGAGGAUAGCCCGACCCGGGCGAUGGUAGACCCGGGCCAAGGUAGUAGGGGGAGGGCGCAGGCAAAUCCGUGCCCUCGCUAACCCCGAGAACUGAUGGGGAGCCCUUUAUAGGGCGAAGCGGGUGAAUCCACACUGCCGAGAAAGAACCCCUAAGCUGUGAAGCCGGAGUGACCGUACCGCAAACCGACACAGGUGGGCGGGUGUAAAAGCACCAAGGCGUUCGGGGGAACCCUCCGUAAGGAACUCGGCAAAAUGACCCCGUAACUGCGGGAGAAGGGGUGCCUCUCUCAGUGUAGGGACAUGCUCCUGAAGCUGAGGGAGGCCGCAGAGAAUAGGCGGUGGCGACUGUUUACCAAAAACACAGGUCUCCGCAAACUCGUAAGAGGAAGUAUGGGGACUGCAACCUGCCCAGUGCCGGAAGGUUAAGGGGAGGGGUGCAAGCCCUGAACCGAAGCCCCGGUAAACGGCGGCCGUAACUAUAACGGUCCUAAGGUAGCGAAAUUCCUUGUCGGUU